AUCCCUUCCAGCCUCAGAGCCCGCCUGGCAGGACUACUGAGCAAGGCCUUGGAAAAUCGGAGCGAUUAGAGCGGUUCAAACAAUACAGAAGUGUAUAAAGUAAGAAUUGAAAGUCUCUUCGCUGCUCUAAUCUCACUCCUCAGAGGUGAUCACUGAUUAUCAUCCCAGAGCCCUCCCUGAAGCCCACACACAGCUUCUUCAGGAAAUGCUGACAGCAUGGACCUGAGUGAGCAGAAGGCUUUUCAGAAUUACAGCCUGAACUAUUUCUUGAGCAAUUUGGGAACUCAUUUCUAAAGCAGUCCUCAGAUUCACACAACGUAGUUUGUGACGGAGUAUGCCCAGAGCAGUGUUAUCACCAGUGCUUUCAGUAACUGCAUACUUAUAAAACAGCCAAACUUCAACCUGUGUUCAGUUUUUAUCUGUUUCUUGGGAAUGUAAUUUGGACAAAAAAGUUACCAAUGUAUUUACAACCAAAUUUCAGAUCUUCAACAUUACAGAGGCUGUCUUGUUGAUGGGGGUGCACCCUGACGAAUGGUGUGCUGGCAAAGAUUUAACAAAAGGCUCCAGAGGAGGGCAGACUUGAAGUGGAGCCUUCAGUGGGCAGUGUGAAGGGUGCUGAUUUCAAACAACUCAUCUGGUAUGACUGAACAUGAAGUUGGGAAGAGAUGUGCAUAAUUGAAGUGGGUGAGAGCCAGUCCAGCACCCUGCAGAGAGUGUGGAAGAUGAUCAAAGUAUGACAUUUCUUCUACCCCAGAGGCUGGCAUUUCUGCAGGCACAAAUGAGCUUGGUUUUCAAGCACUGCUCUUUGAACACAAGGAAUUCCUUUAAUGAUCACGCCGGACUAUAUAGACUUUGGAAUCAGACUCUUUGAAUUCCAGCUCUGCCAUUUACCAACUUUGACACUUUGGACAACGUCUCAUUCUGUCACCCAGGCUGGAGUGCAGUGGCACAAUUAUAGCUCACUGCAGCCUCAAACACCUGGGCUCAAGCAAUCCUUCCACCUCUGCCUCCUGAGUAAUUGGGACUACAGGCAUGUGCCACCACACCCAGCUAAUUUUUAAUUUUUAAUUUUUUUGUAGAGAUGGCGGUCUUGCUAUGUCACCCAGGCUGGUCUUGAACACCUGGCCUCAAGUGAUCCUCCGGCCUUGGUCUCUCAAAGCUCUGGGAUUACAGACAUGAGCCACUGCACCCGGCUCUAUCUCCCCUUCCUAUGUGUGUUAGCUCUAGAACAAGAGAAGCCUUGUUGAGAUUCCUGGCUGCCCACCCCCCAUCACCUCUCUGACUUUGGGCAAGUUGCCUGGCCUCUCUCAGCCUUUAUUUUCUUUUUGUGAAAUGGGGAUAAUAAUAGUACUUGCCUCAUAGGCAAAAUGUUGUGAGAACUAAACGAGAAAAUGCAUGUAAAGCACUUGGCACUUAGUUCUUUUUAUGAUUAUAAUGAUAAUCAGACACAAUAAAUUAUGUCUCACA
rnacentral:lncRNA from 1 species